CUGACUGUUAUUGCUUCUUAACACCGUGAACCUGUUUCAGGCAUUUCCCUUAUUUAAAAAACAUCGAGCAGAUCACUAGGUGCAGGGGCGCACGGCGGAGAGCUUGUGUCCAGCCAGGGGAGGGGAGGGAGCGAGGCUCGGGCGGGACGUGGGUGGCAAGAGGAGGGGGCAGCGGAGCAGAGGGUGGGGGUCACUGGCUGGAGUGGAGGGUCCCUGCAGAGCUUGUGGAGGAGACAAGACAGGGAGUCAUGGUGAGCCUGGGGUGCACCAGGAGAAGGGAUCGUCCGCUGGGCACAAAGAGAGCAGCACAGAUGAAGGCAGCUGGGGAGGGAGGCAGGGACAGGGACAGGCCUGUGAGCAGGCCCUGAGGCUCCUCGGAGGGCAGACGCCUGUGCUGAGGCCCCGCGGUCCAAGCGGGUGAUUCCACGUGCCCACAGCGCUCCUGGAGGCAGGGACGGAGGAGGCAGACAUCUGGGGGGACCUAGCUUAUGGUGGGGGGAACGGGUCGAGGCCACGACGCCGGGUGGAGGCUGCGGUGCUGGGGAGAGAGAGGGGUGGGGGUCCUUACCCUCCUUUCUCCACCAGGCCUCCGAAUCUCCUACCUCCGACAGCACCUGCCACGCAGCCAGCUGCAACCCCAGUCGGCUACUACGUGAACCUUUAUGCAACAUCUUGUGGACACGGCGACAGAAUGUGUGCCAGCCUGCCCUCAGGCUUGCAUUCUGCAGGGGACACGAAGCGCUUCAGUGGUGUGGGCAGGCCUUCCAUGGGGCAGUGCCCGAUGCCCGCAGGCCUGGGGAGUCAGGGAGAACCCCGGGGGAGCUGUUCCUAAGGGUGGCCUGGAGGCCAGUCAGAGGGGAGGGGUGCUGGGGCAGGUGUGGAGGUAGGGGAGAGAUGAAGGGUUUCUGGGGGGCCACAGGGAGUUUUCUCUGGUGGGCUUCAGGCAGCAGGGGAGCCAAGGUGGGUGAGUGGGGCACGUGGGCGGCACGCCGGAUCUGUGGGCCUGUGUUCAAAGCCUUUUCCUCUAAGGUGACCUGGCCACGUAGGUGCUGGGUGGCUGAGGGGUGUGGAGAGAAAGGAGCGAAUGCUGUUUAUUCGGCUGAGAAGGAAAUGGUCCUGGGUAUCGAGACUCUGGAAAUAAGGUGCCAGGAGCCCUGGCCAGGGGAGAUUGGAUUGACCAGACCAGCUUGGGACAAGGCUGGGGCCAACCCCGGGGAGCACGGCCACAGAGCCCAGGGGCAGGGGCCCGGCAGGCCGGGCACAGAGGCAGAG
rnacentral:lncRNA from 1 species